rnacentral:rRNA from 1 species
CAUCUUUUUAAGAUUAUAAUUUAAAAUAUGAUCUGCCCACUGAGUAUUAAAUGGCCGCAGUAAUUUGACUGUGCAAAGGUAGCAUAAUAAUUAGUUUCGUAAUUGGGGACUGGAAUGAAUGAUUGGACAAAGGAAUAACUGUCUAAGUAAAUUAAAGUUGAAAUUUUCUUUAUAGUGAAAAGACUAAAAUAAUAUUAAAAGACGAGAAGACCCUAUAGAAUUUAAAUUUAUUAGAAUUUGGUAAGUUAAAUAUAAUUUUGGUUGGGGUGAUUUCAAGAUAAAAACUCUUGUAUAUUAAGCAUGAUUUUUGUAUAAAUGAAUUUAGUUUAAAUAGAAGAAUAAUUACCUUAGGGAUAACAGCGUUAUUUUAUUUUAAAGAUCUAAUUAAAAAUAAAUAUUUCGACCUCGAUGUUGGAUUAAAAUCUAUAAUUGGUGAAGGAGCUAAUUAAUUAAGUCUGUUCGACUUUUAAAAUUUUACAUGAUCUGAGU